GACGAACGCUGGCGGCGUGCUUAACACAUGCAAGUCGAACGGAAAGGCCCUGCUUUUGUGGGGUGCUCGAGUGGCGAACGGGUGAGUAACACGUGAGUAACCUGCCCUUGACUUUGGGAUAACUUCAGGAAACUGGGGCUAAUACCGGAUAGGAGCUCCUGCUGCAUGGUGGGGGUUGGAAAGUUUCGGCGGUUGGGGAUGGACUCGCGGCUUAUCAGCUUGUUGGUGGGGUAGUGGCUUACCAAGGCUUUGACGGGUAGCCGGCCUGAGAGGGUGACCGGCCACAUUGGGACUGAGAUACGGCCCAGACUCCUACGGGAGGCAGCAGUGGGGAAUAUUGCACAAUGGGCGGAAGCCUGAUGCAGCAACGCCGCGUGCGGGAUGACGGCCUUCGGGUUGUAAACCGCUUUCGCCUGUGACGAAGCGUGAGUGACGGUAAUGGGUAAAGAAGCACCGGCUAACUACGUGCCAGCAGCCGCGGUGAUACGUAGGGUGCGAGCGUUGUCCGGAUUUAUUGGGCGUAAAGGGCUCGUAGGUGGUUGAUCGCGUCGGAAGUGUAAUCUUGGGGCUUAACCCUGAGCGUGCUUUCGAUACGGGUUGACUUGAGGAAGGUAGGGGAGAAUGGAAUUCCUGGUGGAGCGGUGGAAUGCGCAGAUAUCAGGAGGAACACCAGUGGCGAAGGCGGUUCUCUGGGCCUUUCCUGAUGCUGAGGAGCGAAAGCGUGGGGAGCGAACAGGCUUAGAUACCCUGGUAGUCCACGCUGUAAACGGUGGGUACUAGGUGUGGGGUCCAUUCCACGGGUUCCGUGCCGUAGCUAACGCUUUAAGUACCCCGCCUGGGGAGUACGGCCGCAAGGCUAAAACUCAAAGGAAUUGACGGGGCCCCGCACAAGCGGCGGAGCAUGCGGAUUAAUUCGAUGCAACGCGUAGAACCUUACCUGGGUUUGACAUGGAUCGGGAGUGCUCAGAGAUGGGUGUGCCUCUUUUGGGGUCGGUUCACAGGUGGUGCAUGGCUGUCGUCAGCUCGUGUCGUGAGAUGUUGGGUUAAGUCCCGCAACGAGCGCAACCCUUGUUCACUGUUGCCAGCACGUUAUGGUGGGGACUCAGUGGAGACCGCCGGGGUCAACUCGGAGGAAGGUGGGGAUGACGUCAAGUCAUCAUGCCCCUUAUGUCCAGGGCUUCACGCAUGCUACAAUGGCUGGUACAGAGAGUGGCGAGCCUGUGAGGGUGAGCGAAUCUCGGAAAGCCGGUCUCAGUUCGGAUUGGGGUCUGCAACUCGACCUCAUGAAGUCGGAGUCGCUAGUAAUCGCAGAUCAGCAACGCUGCGGUGAAUACGUUCCCGGG
rnacentral:rRNA from 1 species